UGCGGGAUCGUCUAGCGGUAGGACACGCGGCUCUGGACCGUGGAACCGAGGUUCGAAUCCUCGUCCCGCAGCCA
rnacentral:tRNA from 1 species